rnacentral:rRNA from 1 species
CCAAAGAGUAAAGGAGGGACGAGUUUUCUUGAUAUCCACGGUUUCAUUUUAGCAAUGUUGGAAAAGCAAGCAAUGAGGCUCGUUGAGAACCCAGAGUCCCUAUGUGUUCGUAUUAUUCGUGAGAAAUAUUAUCUGGGUGGCAACCUUUUAGAGGCGAAGCUCAAGAAGGGGUUGUCCUUUACAUGGCAGGGUAACAUGGCUGGAGUAAAUGUGCUAUGUCACCGUUAUAUCUGGAGAGCUGGGGAUGGACAGAAAUAUUAA